rnacentral:lncRNA from 1 species
UGUGGCUCAUGGGAACCACCCACAAUCAGCUGCCAGGCAGGUAGAACAUGUUAAAGGUGCAGCUGGAGAUUCCAAGGAAGGAGCUCAUUGACUGUGUCACAAGUGGCCACUAGGUGGGGACAGAGUAGCCUGAGGGCAGAGCCAGAGCUGGUCCAGGAAGGCCACUAGGCUGCAAUGAUGAAUAAAAAAUGGCUGGCUAGAACCUGGAAGAGAAGUGUGUUAAUGUGGUGAUCACCUUGAAGUUUAAUGUCAGCGUCCUCUGUUGAUAAAGGCCUGUGUGCCAGCUGGCAAAGGAGAAAUGCCUACAGGGUCUGGUUUCAGUAUUAACAAAGCUGCACAAGAAAGGGUGGAUUCAGAGCUGGGAGACAAUAAACUGGCAUAUUUACACUGUGUUCCAGUGCUCGGACCUGCUCCUUCCAAGAAGACAGGACGCCAGGAUGGCUGGGACUCCGCUUCCUGGGACACCAUGAUUUUUGUGAGCAGCAGACCUGAAGUGGUACAAGCCAUCGUGAAGGUACAGAGACAACAGAGGUAACUGAAAUACAAUCCUUGUUCUUGAGGGGCCAAUCUAGUGGGGAAAUACAUUUGUAAGGAGAGAUACUCCAAUGAAAUACGAUGCCUUCAGAGGAGAAUGCACAACCUGCCAUGAGAAACCAGAGGAGCAAGCAGCUGAUAUUCUAAUAAAAUUAAAGCUGGAGACAUUUUAAAAGUAGUAUAGCUCGCUUCUUCUUUUUACAGGUGAGAGAAUCCAGGUCCACACAAGGCAUGUGACUUGUUCAAGGUCACAGCACGUUUGUGGCAGAGCCGGGUAUACAACUCAGAACUCGAUUUCCAGCUUGUUGCUUUGUCACACAGAACAUGUGACAGGGAUUGAAAAAGGAAGGAAAAAAGAUUUUGCAUCAAACGGGACACAAAGCUGGAAUGAGAGUAGCUGCAUCUAGAUGCUGGAAGAGAGUCCUGGAGCUGUAGGAAUCCGGGGGUGGCCUGGUGCAGGCAGAGCCCCAUGUCUGCUCUGUAAUUGGGAGCUUGAGUCCAGUUCAUGCUCUGACGGUCCCCACACCCUUUCAGAAAGUAGAUUUUCUGCCUCAGAAGCCAAGCUUAAGGGGGAGUUCUGCUGAGACAAUUCAGUCUAAGGAAGGACUUGGCCUAGGGAGAGAGCUAGGAGGAGGAAAAAGUAUGUCCUUGAUGUUGGAAACCACUAGGAAAGGCAUUGAGGACUUUGACCAUGCCAGGGAGCUUGCAGUGUGAGAUAAAACUGUGUUUGAACCUGAGGUGGAAGCAUCAUUUUCCUGUGAUCCCAAUUAAAGCUUUGGAGGAUGCUGCUCUUUAGCAAAUGUCUGGGAAUUAUCCAUGCCUAAGGAAUUGUCUUCAGAGACCCUCACCAGGAACCUAAAGAAGCUCCCUGUCUCCCUCCCCUACUGAGAGAGCCCAGGGAACUCCUGAGGCCAGAGGGUAGGAGGGGAGGCAAAAGUCCAUGUGGGUGCCUUUGCGAGGGUGCAGGUGGCUCUCAGAUUAGCCUCAGAAAUCCUCUCUAUCCCACUGAUGUUUAAAUUACACUGAAUAUUUUAAACCUCAGAGCAGAAGAGGGGAAGCAGCCUAAUCACUUGGGUGUUGGAAAUAUAAGGAAAACCAGCCAUAAUCACCCACCUACCUCCUAAUCUCCUACCUUUGGUUCCACUAUUAGAGCAUAUUGACAAUUCAGGAGUCUCAUUUUUUGGUUUAUAGGGAAAAUGAUGAGAGUUGAGUUGAUCCUGAAAGGAGCAACAAAACAAAGACGUGUUGCGUGGCCGCCUAACUGCAUGAAGGAGUGCAGCUUUCUGAAGGGGGUUUCCAGUCCUGUCACCUUUUUCCCCCAAACCAAUCAGGAGCAGAGGCUCUCAACAAAAUGAGAAUCUUUUUACUUUUUUUUUUUUGUUUAAUCUUCAGACUAGAGUUUAAGGUCAGAGUCUCAUUAUUAGUAUUGACCCAAUUAUUUAUCUUAUUUAAGAAAAUAGUGUUUAAUAGGAUAAAUAAAAAGAUGUCUCUGGCUAGGUUUUGCUCACUCUUGUCAGGACUGCCUCUUAUUCUUGCUAUAUUUUAAGUCAAAACAUACUCAUUCUCUGAGUCUUAAAGGCAGUAUUAAUAUGAUUUCUGUUUCCUUUUUCCUAAGGGGGAAAAUAAACUGAAACAAAGUCCUUUUGGGAAAAUGCCCAUUUAAAAAAAAGUUUAGUUGUUUUGGAUACAUAGUAGGUGUGUGUAUCUAUGGGUUACAUGGGAUAUUUUGAUACAGGAACACUAUAUGUAAUAAUCACAUCAGGGUAAAUUGGGUACCCAUCACCUCAAGCAUUUAUCGUUUGUUUAAGCCAGCAUCUACUUAACAAUUCCUCGUCUCCCAAGGCUACAUAAUUACAGUGAGAACUUUAAGAAAUCUAUGUUUACGUGUGUUCUUUUGGCUUAAAUCCCCUUCCUCAUUAAAAAGGCAAAGAGGGCACAGCUGUUUGCCUUCAGCACUCUCCUCUCUAUAUCCAACCACAUUUAGGGCAGCUUUCCAUGGCUUUUAAAAUUCCUUUCUCCUUUCAGUCUGCUCCUCUAUAUCCUGAUUGCCAUAGAGAAAUAAAUAUGUGGCAGAGUCCUGUGCUUUUGCAAUUCCAAGGAAACCUACAGAGCGAGGCUGUGAAACUGAUGUUCCGUUUUACCGGGGCAUUAUCAAACAUGUUGGGUGCAAAAGGGCACCUUUUAGCCUUUUCUUAAAUUUGCAUGACCUGUAUUGUCUACGCAGAUUAUGAAUGAGCCUGAGGAGUCUGCACGUCUAACUUGUCAUCAUCCCAGAAAAAUCAAAAUGUGUAGGUAAAAUGAGCACAAGAUUUGGAAAAGCGAGGUACUUGGAUGCAAGAGAACAAACUCUUAGCCCUUUUGAGCAUGAGUGCUUCAGCUGCAGAACAGGAUUGAGACUCCUCACCUGAAUUGGAGAGGAUUCACUCUGAAAUGAAAGCUAGCUAGAUAAAAGCUCCUUGCAAAGGUAAAGAAAGGUGGUGAUUUAAAGCUGGCUGAUGCUGAAUUAUGGAGGAGCUCUUUGGAAAUUCUUUUUUAUCUAUAUAAAUGACAGAAAUUUAGUGUGAUCCAUGUGGCUAGCACAUGUCACAUAUCGUCUGCUGGCACUGAUGCCUCACCUCUUCCUUAAUUUUCUGCUUCUUUUUUUCAAUUAAAGCCCUUUGUCCACUCUUCAGCCUCUGAAUCUUCUCAGCAAUUCUUUCCUCUAGUUUUAGUGGAUUUCCCAGGGGAAGAGCUCGAGCAACCCAGCAGAAUGUGUCUAAGAGCGCUCUGACUCUUCCAGGGAACGAUUCCUCAUUCCCAAAUCUGUUGCUAGAGAUAAGCAAGAGAUUAUACAUUCCUGAGACCUGGG